GAUGAACGCUGGCGGCGUGCCUAAUACAUGCAAGUCGAGCGAACGGACGAGAAUCUUUCUUCUCUUAUGUUAUCGGCUGACGUGUUAUUAACACGUGUAUAACCUCCCUAUAAUACUGGUAUAACUUCGUGACACCGUAUCUAAUACCGUAUAAUAUUUUGAACCUCAUUGUUCAAAAUUGAAAUACGUUCUUGCUGUCUCUUAUAGAUGUUUCCGCGCUGCAUUAGCUAGUUGGUAAGGUAACGGCUUACCAAGGCAACGAUGCAUAGCCGACCUGAGAGGGUGAGAGGCAACACUGGAACGGAGACACGGUCCAGAGUACAACGGGAGGAAGCAGAAGGGAAUAUUCCGCAAUGGGCGAAAGCAUGACGGAGAAACGCCGAGUGAGUGAUGAAGGGCUUCGGAGCGUAAAAAUCUGUUAUUAGGGAAGAAAAGAUGUGUAAGUAAAUGUGAACAGCAUGACGGUACCUAAUCAGAAAGCAACGGCUAACUACGUG
rnacentral:rRNA from 1 species